CUUUUCGGUAGAGCUACUGUUGCUGUUGUUGUUGCUGCUGUUACUGCUGAGUAUUGUGUUUUGUGCAACAGUGCAGCCGCUUGUCAAAAAUUGCAAUAAAAUACAUGUUCAUGUAUGCGUUAAAUACAUAAAUAUUUGAAGUGUUCGUUUGUGAAGCUUAAUCAAAGUAAAUAUUCAAAUCUCGUAAUAUAAUUAACAACUGUCGCGAAUGUCUCUUAUAUAAAUAUACCUAUAUACAAAUGUGGAUGCAACAAAGUAAAUAAUUAAUAAUAAUGUGUGCUUAAAACUACAAACAAACUCACUACAACAACACAUGCAUCUUGAAUUAAAUGGAAUAAGUCUGCUACAACUACAAUUAUAAAUUUCUUGACUGGUGA